AGGUCGUUUUAGAUCAUGCCGAAGACAGCAGGUGCUCGAUGAGCGUAAGUGUAUCGCCUGCCGAGGGAAAGAUUCAAUAGUUAGUUUGAAUGUCAGCCUUCCGUUUUCGGGAGGCUUUUUAUAGCGUAUC
rfam:Firmicutes bacterium CAG:194 genomic scaffold, scf103